rnacentral:sRNA from 1 species
AGGUGUGGUGGCAUACCUGUAGUCCCAGCUACUUGGAAGGCUGAGGCGGUCGGAUCACUUGAGUUCAUGAGUUGGAGACCAGCCUGCGCAACAUGGUUAGACCCCGCCUCAA